UACGUAGGUGGCAAGCGUUGUCCGGAUUUACUGGGCGUAAAGAGCGCGCAGGCGGUCGUUCAAGUCGCGUGUGAAAGCCCCCGGCUCAACUGGGGAGGGUCACUCGAUACUGAUCGACUCGAAGGCAGAAGAGGGAAGCGGAAUUCCCGGUGUAGUGGUGAAAUGCGCAGAUAUCAGGAGGAACACCGGUGGCGAAGGCGGGUCUCUGGGCCGAUACUGACGCUGAGGAGCGAAAGCGUGGGGAGCGAACAGG
rnacentral:rRNA from 1 species